AACGAGGCCGACCUGCGGCUGAGUUACCUGCGGAGGGAUCAUUACCGAGUUUACAACUCCCAAACCCAUGUGAACAUACCUAUCGUUGCUUCGGCGGGAUCGCCCCGGGCGCCUCGUGUGCCCCGGAUCCGGCGCCCGCCUAGGAACCUUAACUCUUGUUUUAUUUUGGAAUCUUCUGAGUAGUUUUUACAAAUAAAUAAAAACUUUCAACAAUGGAUCU
rnacentral:misc_RNA from 1 species